rnacentral:rRNA from 1 species
UCAAGCGUUUAAGGGCGAUUGGCGGAUGCCUUGGCACUGUAAGACGAUGAAGGACGUGGUAUACUGCGAUAAGUUUCGGGGAGCUGUAUGCAGGCUUUGAUCCGAAAAUUUCCGAAUGGGGAAACCCAACACUUCGUGUGUUACUUUAUACUGAAUACAUAGGUAUAAAGAGUGAACCUGGAGAACUGAAACAUCUAAGUAACCAGAGGAAAAGAAAUCAAUUGAGACUCCGUGAGUAGUGGCGAGCGAAAGCGGACUAGGCCAGCAACUUAGUAUUAGACAAUUUGAAUAGUUUGGAAAAACUAACCACAGAGGGUGAUAGUCCCGUAAAAGUAAUGCUGAUUCUAAGUUCUUGAGUAAGGCGGGACACGUGAAAUCCUGCUUGAAUUUUGGGGGACCACCCUCUAAGCCUAAGUACUCUACAGUGACCGAUAGUGAACUAGUACCGUGAGGGAAAGGUGAAAAGAACCCCUAUUAGGGGAGUGAAAUAGAACCUGAAACCGAUUGCCUACAAACAGUCGAAGCUCUUUUUAGAGUGACGGCGUACCUUUUGUAUAAUGGGUCAGUGACUUAAUUUGUAUAGCAAGCUUAAGCCGAUUAGGUGGAGGCGCAGCGAAAGCGAGUCUUAAUAGGGCGUUUAGUUAUAUGAAUUAGACCCGAAAACGAAUGAGCUUACCAUGAGCAGGUUGAAAGUUGGGUAACACCAACCGGAGGACCGAACCAGUUGACGUUGAAAAGUCUUUGGAUGACUUGUGGUAAGGGGUGAAAGGCCAACCAAAUUCGUAGAUAGCUGGUUUUCCGCGAAAACUAUUUAGGUAGUGCGUUGAAUAAACAGACUUUUGGAGGUAGAGCACUAAAUGGGCUAGGGGAGAGAAAUCUUUACCAAACCUAAUAAAACUCCGAAUGCCAAAAGUCAUUCCUCAACAGACAGACUGUGGGUGCUAAGGUCCAUGGUCGAGAGGGGAACAGCCCAGAUCACCAGAUAAGGUCCCUAAAUCAUGAUUAAGUGUGAAAGGAUGUGGAGAUUCCUUAACAGCCGGGAGGUUGGCUUAGAAGCAGCCAUCCUUUAAAGAUAGCGUAACAGCUCACCGGUCUAAUAGAGUUUCUGCGCCUAAGAUGUAACGGGGCUCAAAUCAUGUACCGAAUCUGUGGGUGUAUAAAGUUUUCGAAUUUUAUACGCGGUAGCGGAACGUUCUGUAAGCCUGUGAAGGGAUACCUGUGAGGGAUCCUGGAGGUAUCAGAAGUGCGAAUGCUGACAUAAGUAACGAUUAACAGAGUGAAAAACUCUGUCGCCGAAAAUCCAAGGGUUUCUGCGCAAGGUUAAUCCGCGCAGGGUUAGUCGGCCCCUAAGACGAGGGCGAAAGCCGUAGUCGAUGGGAACUAGGUUAAUAUUCCUAGACCAGAUGGUAGUGACGGAUUUCGUAAGUUGUUAACUCUUAAUGGAUUGAGUUAGCCGCGAAGAAGUUCCAGGAAAUAGCUCCAUCAUUAGACCGUACCCGAAACCGACACAGGUGGAUUAUUAGAGUAUAAUUAGGCGCUUGAGAGAAUGAUGUUGAAGGAACUCGGCAAAAUGCCUCUGUAACUUCGGAAGAAAGAGGACCCAUUUUUAGGCAACUAUAAGUGGGUGGCACAAGCUAGGGAGAAGCGACUGUUUAUCAAAAACACAGGGCUCUGCUAACACGUAAGUGGAUGUAUAGGGUCUGACGCCUGCCCGGUGCCGGAAGGUUAAUGCGAUGGGUGCAAGCUCAUUUCUGAAGCCCCGGUAAACGGCGGCCGUAACUAUAACGGUCCUAAGGUAGCGAAAUUCCUUGUCGGGUAAGUUCCGACCCGC